UACGUAGGGUGCAAGCGUUUGUCCGGAAUUAUUGGGCGUAAAGAGCUCGUAGGCGGUUUGUCGCGUCUGCUGUGAAAAAUCCAGGGCUUAACCCUGGACCUGCAGUGGGUACGGGCAGACUGGAGUGCGGUAGGGGAGAUCGGAAUUACCGGUGUAGCGGUGAAAUGCGUAGAUAUCGGUAGGAACACCAGUGGCGAAGGCGGUCUCCUGGGGCAUUCUUGACGUGAGGCGCGAAAGCUGGGGGGAGCAAACGGGG
rnacentral:rRNA from 1 species